UCUUUCUCUUUUCUCCUUCUCGCUUUGGAACACAGCCCACUAAAGGUACAAAUUUUCUUUCUCUCUCUAUCUUUUCUUUUAUUUAUUUUUAUGCUUUUGGUUUUUGUGGUUUCUUGUUUUCUUUCUUAGUUGUUUAUGUUUUUCUUUAUUGCUCCCUCUCUUUAUAAAUAUGCAAAUUUGGGGUUAUAUUUGUCGAGAGAGUGGAUCUUCCAGACUUUAGUCUUGACGGUGGGAAGAAAAGAUUGUAAUUUGAGGGAAAUGUUACUGGGAUUUUGUUAUAUUUCAGAUCAAAUAUUUUGAGGGUCUCAAGUAAUAGUGAUCUGACUUUUCAAAACAUGUAGCUUCAUUGACACUCGUAAUUGAUGAAAAUUUAGCUCCCUUUUUGUUUAAUGCAGUCAUUGAAUGUGUGACGAUUUUUUAGAUUGAGAAAGUUAUAUUUCACCUGAUUCUGAUUGGGAUAAUUAAUGGAGAAGUUAGGGCCUAUGGGACAUUUUAAUUAGCACUUUCAAUUAUGGAGUCAAGUCAAAAAUAUUUAUUUCUUUUUAAGCAUUGCAAACAAAAGUUUUCAAGAAUUCUGUGGGGUUAUAGCCUAUAGGCCUAUAGUGUUGGGGGAGUAUGUGGUGACCAAGAAUGGACUCACUUAAUCCAUGGGUGCUCGUAUACUCUGAGAAAAAGAUAAGGCUGAAAAGCAGCUAUAAAGUCUUUGAAUCUUGAAUGUUUUUAAAUGCGAUACGCCUGCAAAUGUCCCUGUUUCUCGUGCUAGCAUGUGAAUGGGGCGACCUUCGGGAAUUGCUCAUUGUGUUAUAAUUCGUGAAAGAUGGUUUUUAAAUGUUUCAUCAUGCCAUGCUCUCUCUGCAAUCUCACAAAAACCGAUCUCUGUUAGAAAGAAAAUCCUGGAGAAUGUUACGAGUUAUUCGACUUUGCUGACUAUCAAUACUUGGGUAUAUACGAGAGCAGAUCAUUAUUUCAGAUACAGGUCGGUAUUUCGUAGCCAAACGUAGCUUAACAAUAUCCGUUGUUGUACUUGGCACAAGAUUGAACGGGUUGAAGAUCCCUACUUUCAGACACUUACUAAAGGGGAAUGGUUAUUUGUUCAAGAUAUGAUGGAAAUAAAUGGUAAAGCUUCCCACAAUAAUGAGCAGAAGACUUUGGUUUCUGCACCUCCGGCCAAUGUACCAAAAAGGACAUCAGAGAAUAAUUCGAGCACUUCUAUAUUUGUCAAUCAUGCUGCCAUUGCAUGGGCUGAGAGCAGAAGAAAAUGGAUUGGAAAUGCUCCUCAGAGGUCAGACAGAACAAUGAAGGAUCCGAUUAUAAGCUGGUCCACAACCUACGAGGAUCUGCUCUUGACUCACGAUCCAUUCUCCGAGCCAAUUCCUUUACCUGAGAUGGUCGACUUUUUGGUUGAUAUCUGGCACGACGAGGGGCUUUUUGAUUAGAAUAACCUUAUUGAAAAUAGUUCAGGCAUCUAUAACCCUUCUCUCACUCCAUUAUCUCAGAUUGAAAGCAACACCAACAGACUCUACCGCCUCGGAAUGAUGACGUUCCAACAACCGCAACCCUCGUUCCUUUGUUAUACCAUUAGGUUAGUCUCAAUUCUACAUGUAUGCUAAUGCUGUACUCUUUCUUAGCUCAUGUUCUUCGAUUCUACAAGUGAUAGCAUGUAGGGAAAGCUAGUUAGAUGUCGGAUGUCUAGUUAUUUAGGUAGUGGCGCUACAUGUGCCAGGCUCGACCUAUAAGGUACUCAGACCGUGUGAAGUAUCUUAUCCGGUCUCGUUGGUUUACUCUAUAUAGUAGGUCGUUGCAAAGUCGAGUUCUUGGUCGCUACAUGUAGUAGGGUUUUUUUUUUUUUUUGAACUGUUUAGAAUUCAUCAAGUAUAAUUGAGCUGGAGCUCUCUUGUUUGUAAGGAAUCGAAGGGUUGCAGAAUUAGAUGUAUUUGACAUGUACUGAUGCUGUGAUGCCUCAUUUCGAAUAAUAUUGUAUCUGGUUUGAUUGUUUAUAGAAUCUUGAUUUUGAUGGCA